rnacentral:rRNA from 1 species
GACGAACGCUGGCGGCGUGCCUAAUACAUGCAAGUAGAACGCUGAAGGAGGAGCUUGCUUCUCUGGAUGAGUUGCGAACGGGUGAGUAACGCAUAGGUAACCUGCCUGGUAGCGGGGGAUAACUAUUGGAAACGAUAGCUAAUACCGCAUAAGAGUAGAUGUUGCAUGACAUUUGCUUAAAAGGUGCAAUUGCAUCACUACCAGAUGGACCUGCGUCGUAUUAGCUAGUUGGUGGGGUAACGGCUCACCAAGGCGACGAUACAUAGCCGACCUGAGAGGGUGAUCGGCCACACUGGGACUGAGACACGGCCCAGACUCCUACGGGAGGCAGCAGUAGGGAAUCUUCGGCAAUGGACGGAAGUCUGACCGAGCAACGCCGCGUGAGUGAAGAAGGUUUUCGGAUCGUAAAGCUCUGUUGUAAGAGAAGAACGAGUGUGAGAGUGGAAAGUUCACGCUGUGACGGUAUCUUACCAGAAAGGGACGGCUAACUACGUGC